UUUAUAAGAAGCUAAAGAAAAAAAUCUUCGUCAACUAUGGUGCAACCUAUGUAUCAUCCUAGGGAAGAAGGAACGGAUGCCAUGACCCAAGUCCCAGCAGUAAUGGAAAACUCAGACAGGCAACUAAUAGCCAAAGCUCCAUGUGACUUCAAGCCUUUCUCCCCACCAAGAUGCCCAGCAUUCCACCAUAGGAGACACCAAGGCAUUGCCUGAAGAAGAAUCCCUUCAAAAUUCAAAAACAGUGCACAAUUCUGAGAUGCACACUGCGUCAUACUGAAAAUGUCUUUAAAAUCAAGCCCUAACAAACACGCUGCAUUCUUGAAA